rnacentral:rRNA from 1 species
GACGAACGCUGGCGGCGUGCUUAACACAUGCAAGUCGAACGGAAAGACCCUGCUUUUGUGGGGUGCUCGAGUGGCGAACGGGUGAGUAACACGUGAGUAACCUGCCCUUGACUUUGGGAUAACUUCAGGAAACUGGGGCUAAUACCGGAUAGGAGCUCCUGCUGCAUGGUGGGGGUUGGAAAGUUUCGGCGGUUGGGGAUGGACUCGCGGCUUAUCAGCUUGUUGGUGGGGUAGUGGCUUACCAAGGCUUUGACGGGUAGCCGGCCUGAGAGGGUGACCGGCCACAUUGGGACUGAGAUACGGCCCAGACUCCUACGGGAGGCAGCAGUGGGGAAUAUUGCACAAUGGGCGGAAGCCUGAUGCAGCAACGCCGCGUGCGGGAUGACGGCCUUCUGGUUGUAAACCGCUUUCGCCUGUGACGAAGCGUGAGUGACGGUAAUGGGUAAAGAAGCACCGGCUAACUACGUG